ensembl:snRNA U1 U1 spliceosomal RNA
AUGCUUACCUAGAAGGGCAGAGCCGCCAUGAUAAAGGCCGAUUUUCCAGGGUAACGUGCACCCAUUUACUCCAGGUGUGCUGACCCCUGAAAUAUCUCCACACUCCGGAAACUCAAUUUUGUAAUUUGUGGUAGUAGGGGAGUAUGUUCCCAGCUUCUCCUG